rnacentral:rRNA from 1 species
CGGACGGGUGAGUAAUGUCUGGGAAACUGCCCGAUGGAGGGGGAUAACUACUGGAAACGGUAGCUAAUACCGCAUGACGUCGCAAGACCAAGAGGGGGACCUUCGGGCCUCUUGCCAUCGGAUGUGCCCAGAUGGGAUUAGCUAGUAGGUGGGGUAACGGCUCACCUAGGCGACGAUCCCUAGCUGGUCUGAGAGGAUGACCAGCCACACUGGAACUGAGACACGGUCCAG